CCCCCGUGGCUACUGGUUUCUGGGGCUGGUAGCCCCCCACGGGCCGUACACCCAUGGCUGCAAGGCCAGGGGGUGGUGACAGCCACGGCCACGCAGCCCACGGGCAGUGACCCCGUGGCUGGAGCCCCCGCGGGCAGCAGCCCCGGGGCUGCCGCAGGUCCCGCUCCCUGCAGAGCCCCGGUACCCCGGUACCCGCUGCUGGCCCCGGGGCAGCUCCAGCCCCGGUGCCGGUCCAUCCCCCGGUACCGGUGCUGCUUCAUCCCUGCUACCGAUCCAGCCCCGGUGCCAAUACACCCCUGGCCCGCUACAUCCCCCGGUACCAGUGCUCCCUUCCCGGUGCCAGCACCCCGCCGGUGCCGGGGUACCCUGGGUGCCGGUACAUCCCCGGUACCGGUACACCCCCUGUGCCGGUACACCCCCGGUACCGGUACACCCCCUGUGCCGGUACACCCCCGGUGCCGGUACAUCCCCGGGGCCGGUACACCCCCGGUGCCAGUACAUCCCCGGUACCGGUACAUCCCCGGUGCCGGUACAUCCUCGAUACCGGUACAUCCCCGAUACCGGUACACCCCCGGUGCCGGUACAUCCCCGGUACCGGUGCCGGUAAAUCACCGGCUGUCCGCGCACCCCCUGUGCCAGUCCAUCCCCGGUGCCGGUCCGUUCCCUGAUCCCGGCCCUGCCCCGGUGCCCGCCCGUCCCUCCCGGUCCCUCCCGGCCGUACCGGGGCUGCGGCGCCGCCCGGGUCGUGCAUCAGCGGCGGGGCGGCCGCGGGGCCAUUUUCUGUGCGGAGCUGUCGCGAGAGCGGCGGGAGGAGGAGGAGGAGGAGGAGGAGGAGGAGGAGGAGGAUGCCGGGGGGGAGGAAGGAACGUGCGGAAGGGCGGGCGGGGGCCUCGGGGGGGGACCGGCCCCGCCCCGCCCGUUCCCCCCCCCCCUCCCCCGGCUGCUUUUCCCGGGAGAUUCUCCGCACCCGCAUCCCAGCGUCUGCGGGCAGCUCGAGCAUCCCGGGGCUCCCGGGGGUUUUGGAGCAUCCUGGGGGUUUUGGAAUGUCCCGGGGGUUUGGAGAAUUCCAGGGGUUUUGGGGCAUCCUGGGGUUUUGGAGCAUCCCAGGGUUUCGGAGCAUCCUGGAGGUUUUGGAAUGUCCCGGAGGUUUUGGAGAAUUCCAGGGGUUUUGGAGCAUCCUGAGGGUUUUGGAGCAUCCUGGGGUUUUUAGAGAAUCCUGGGAAGGGAAAGGCAUCAGCAGUUCCUGAAGCUUUUGGAGUAUCCCAGGGUUUUGGAGCAUCCCAGGGGUUUUGGAGUAUCCCAGGGUUUUGUAGUAUCCCAGGGUUUUGGAGCAUACAGGGUUUUGGAGGAUCCCGGAGUUUUGGAGCAUCCCAGGAUUUUGGAGCAUCCCAGGGUUUUGGAGCAUCCCACGGUUUUGGAGCAUCCCAGGAUUUUGGAGCAUCCCAGGGUUUUGGAGCAUCCUGGGUUUGGGAUCAUGGCAGGGGCUCAGAGCAUCCCAGGGCCUUGAGCCUCCCGAAGGCCUUGGAGCAUCCCAGGGCUUUUGGAACAUCCCGGGACCUUGGAGCAUCCCGG
rnacentral:lncRNA from 1 species